AGCUACAGCUUAAAACCCAAAGGACUUGGCGGUGCCCCAUACCACCUAGAGGAGCCUGUUCUAUAAUCGAUAACCCCCGCUAAACCUCACCACUUAUUGCCAAUACCGCCUAUAUACCACCGUCGCCAGCCCACCCUGUGAAGGGCUUCAAGUAGGCACAAUGGUCACCACCAAAACGUCAGGUCAAGGUGUAGCACAUGAAGUGGGAAGAAAUGGGCUACAUUUUCUACCCUAGAACAAACGAACGAUCAUAUGAAACAUGCUCAGAAGGUGGAUUUAGCAGUAAAAGGAAC
rnacentral:rRNA from 1 species